rnacentral:rRNA from 1 species
UGGGGAAUCUUGCGCAAUGGGCGAAAGCCUGACGCAGCGACGCCGCGUGAGUGAUGAAGGCCUUCGGGUUGUAAAGCUCUGUGGGGAGAGACGAAUAAGUGCCGCCUAAUACGUUGCAUGAUGACGGUAUCUCCUUAGCAAGCACCGGCUAACUCUGUGCCAGCAGCCGCGGUAAGACAGAGGGUGCAAACGUUGUUCGGAAUUACUGGGCGUAAAGCGAGUGUAGGCGGUCUCAUAAGUCGGGUGUGAAAGCCCUGGGCUCAACCCAGGAAGUGCACUCGAAACUGCGAGGCUAGAGUAUCGGAGAGGUUGGUGGAAUUCUCGGUGUAGAGGUGAAAUUCGUAGAUAUCGAGAGGAACACCGGUGGCGAAGGCGGCCAACUGGACGAAUACUGACGCUGAGACUCGAAAGCGUGGGGAGCAAACAG